rnacentral:snRNA from 1 species
GAAUGUGAGGAUGAUCUGACUGUGACACGUGUCACCCUUUAACACUAGGGUUAAUUCAGCUGAUCUGGCUGGCUAGACAGGUGUCCCCUUCCUCUCUCAGCACUCCAUAUGCAUUCAGCCUAGAGUUGCACACUCAGUCAAAGAGGAUGACCAUCCCUACUGGAGGAGGACCAUUCUUUGGUCAAUGAUAUACGAGUAGCUGUGUUCCUUGCUAGAACCUCCGAGCAAGCUCUCAAGAGUAACAUGGACAUGGAAGAGAAGAGGAAACAAAAGAUAGACACUGACAGAAUCCUGAACUUAAUGCCUGGAAUUUUUAUUA